rnacentral:rRNA from 1 species
GACGAACGCUGGCGGCGUGCUUAACACAUGCAAGCCGAACGAUGAAGCUAGAGCUUGCUCUGGUGGAUUAGUGGCGAACGGGUGAGUAACACGUGAGUAACCUGCCCCGAACUCUGGGAUAACUGCUGGAAACGGUAGCUAAUACUGGAUACGACCAACGAAGGCAUCUUCUGUUGGUGGAAAGAAUUUCGGUUCGGGAUGGACUCGCGGCCUAUCAGCUUGUUGUUGAGGUAACGGCUCACCAAGGCGACGACAGGUAGCCGGCCUGAGAGGGUGAUCGGCCACACUGGGACUGAGACACGGCCCAGACUCCUACGGGAGGCAGCAGUGGGGAAUAUUGCACAAUGGGCGCAAGCCUGAUGCAGCAACGCCGCGUGAGGGACGACGGCCUUCGGGUUGUAAACCUCUUUUAGUAGGGAAGAAGCGAAAGUGACGGUACCUGCAGAAAAAGCACCGGCUAACUACGUGCCAGCCGCCGCCGUAA